rnacentral:rRNA from 1 species
GGCUCAGGACGAACGCUGGCGGCGUGCCUAACACAUGCAAGUCGAACGAGGUCCAUCCUUCGGGAGAAGACCUAGUGGCGAACGGGUGAGUAACACGUGAGGAACCUGCCCCGAAGACCGGGAUAACCCUCCGAAAGGAGAGCUAAUACCGGAUACCCCCACCGAGCCGCAUGGUUUGGUGAGGAAAUGGAUUCCGCUUCGGGAGGGCCUCGCGGCCUAUCAGCUAGUUGGUGGGGUAACGGCCCACCAAGGCAUCGACGGGUAGCUGGUCUGAGAGGACGAUCAGCCACACUGGGACUGAGACACGGCCCAGACUCCUACGGGAGGCAGCAGUGGGGAAUCUUGCGCAAUGGGCGAAAGCCUGACGCAGCAACGCCGCGUGGGGGAUGAAGGCUCUCGGGUUGUAAACCCCUUUCAGCAGGGACGAAUCAAGACGGUACCUGCAGAAGAAGCCCCGGCUAACUACGUGCCAGCAGCCGCGGUAACACGUAGGGGGCAAGCGUUGUCCGGAUUUAUUGGGCGUAAAGAGCUCGUAGGUGGCUGAGUAAGUCGGAUGUUAAAUCCCCAGGCUCAACCUGGGACACCACCCGAUACUGCUCUGGCUAGAGUCCGGUAGGGGAGCGUGGAAUUCCUGGUGUAGCGGUGAAAUGCGCAGAUAUCAGGAGGAACACCAGCGGCGAAGGCGGCGCUCUGGGCCGGCACUGACACUGAGGAGCGAAAGCGUGGGUAGCAAACAGGAUUAGAUACCCUGGUAGUCCACGCCGUAAACGUUGGGCACUAGGUGUGGGGUCUAUUCAACGGACUCCGUGCCGUAGCUAACGCAUUAAGUGCCCCGCCUGGGGGAGUACGGCCGCAAGGCUAAAAC